AUGAAUGAUGCUCUACUUGCCCCUUAUACUGCGGAAGAUGUUCGCAAGGCUUUAUUCGAUAUUGGGGACUUGAAAACUCCAGGGCCAGAUGGACUCCAUGCUAUCUUCUAUAAAAGGUUUUGGCCCAUGAUGGGGGAAGAAUUAAUUGAGGAGGUUCUGAUAGCAAUCAACACAUGCACUAUACCGAAGGGUUGGAAUGAUACGGCGAACGUGAUGAUUCCUAAAAUUAAUACACCAGAGAAGGUAAUCCAAUUUAGGCCGAUCAGCUUAUGUAAUGUGCUAUAUAAAAUAAUUGCAAAAAUGGUGGCUUCUCGAUUGAAGGUUUUUUUACGAGAAAUUAUUAGCCCAACACAGAGUGCAUUUGUACCGGGUAGAUUGAUAAUGGAUAAUAUUUUAGUGGCCUACGAAUGUUUUCACACAAUCAAGAAUAAAAGAGAGGGUAGAGAGGGCUUGUGUGCUAUAAAACUUGAUAUGCACAAAGCCUACAAUAGAGUUGAGUGGACUUUUUUGAAGAAGAUUAUGUUGAAAUUGGGUUUUCGUCGUGAGUGGGUUAAUGUGAUUAUGCAAUGCGUCUCAACCGUAGAAUACAAAGUAAGGAUCAAUGAAGAGGAAAGUGAGAGAUUUAAGCCUACGAGAGGGUUGAGACAGGGGGACCCGCUAUCACCUUACCUUUUUUUGUUGUGCACAGAAGGAUUGAAUGCCUUGCUUGCGCAUGCUGAGGAGAAUGGAAACAUUUCAGGAGUUAAAGUCUGUAGAGACACCCCGCCAGUCAUAAAUCUUCUCUUUGCGGAUGACUCAUUGAUCUUAAUGAAAGCCAACCAACAUAAUGUGGAAAACCUGAAAUCAGCACUAGAUUUAUAUUGUGCGGCGUCGGGACAGCUGGUAAGCAUUGAAAAAUCCAGUAUUUUCUUCAGCCCUAAUACAAAGGUAGAGAUCAGAGAACAAUUGUGUACAACGCUAAAUAUAAUGACGGAGGCUCUCACUGAUAAAUAUUUUGGCUUACUAGCAAAUGUGGGUGUUGAUAAAACAGACUGCUUUAGUUUUCUGAUUGAACGUAUUGUUAAGAGAAUUAGUGGUUGGAAGGAAAAAUUACUAUCUUCCGGGGGGGAGGAGAUCCUAUUAAAGGCGGUGAUCCAAGCCAUACCUACCUAUGCACUGUCGGUCUUUAAAAUUCCUAAAAAAUUGUAAAGGAAUCAUUGACGCGAUGUCACAUUCUGGUGGGAAGACGAGGAGAACCAGAAGAGGAUGCAUUGA
rnacentral:rRNA from 1 species